rnacentral:rRNA from 1 species
UACGUAGGGUGCAAGCGUUGUCCGGAAUUAUUGGGCGUAAAGAGCUCGUAGGCGGUCUGUCACGUCGGACGUGAAAAUCCAGGGCUCAACCCUGGACCUGCGUUCGAUACGGGCAGACUAGAGUUCGGUAGGGGAGACUGGAAUUCCUGGUGUAGCGGUGAAAUGCGCAGAUAUCGGGAGGAACACCAGUGGCGAAGGCGGCACUCUGGGCCAGUACUGACGCUGAGGAGCGAAAGCGUGGGGAGCGAACAGG